AUUGAACGCUGGCGGCAGGCCUAACACAUGCAAGUCGAACGGUAACAGGAAGAAGCUUGCUUCUUUGCUGACGAGUGGCGGACGGGUGAGUAAUGUCUGGGAAACUGCCUGAUGGAGGGGGAUAACUACUGGAAACGGUAGCUAAUACCGCAUAACGUCGCAAGCCCAAAGAGGGGUACCUUCGGGCCUCUUGCCAUCGGAUGUGCCCAGAUGGGAUUAGCUAGUAGGUGGGGUAACGGCUCACCUAGGCGACGAUCCCUAGCUGGUCUGAGAGGAUGACCAGACACACUGGAACUGAGACACGGUCCAGACUCCUACGGGAGGCAGCAGUGGGGAAUAUUGCACAAUGGGCGCAAGCCUGAUGCAGCCAUGCCGCGUGUAUGAAGAAGGCCUUCGGGUUGUAAAGUACUUUCAGCGGGGAGGAAGGGAGUAAAGUUAAUACCUUUGCUCAUUGACGUUACCCGCAGAAGAAGCACCGGCUAACUCCGUG
rnacentral:rRNA from 1 species